rnacentral:rRNA from 1 species
UGGGGAAUAUUGCACAAUGGGCGCAAGCCUGAUGCAGCCAUGCCGCGUGUGUGAAGAAGGCCUUCGGGUUGUAAAGCACUUUCAGCGAGGAGGAAGGUGGUGAGCUUAAUACGCUCAUCAAUUGACGUUACUCGCAGAAGAAGCACCGGCUAACUCCGUGCCAGCAGCCGCGGUAAUACGGAGGGUGCAAGCGUUAAUCGGAAUUACUGGGCGUAAAGCGCACGCAGGCGGUUUGUUAAGUCAGAUGUGAAAUCCCCGGGCUCAACCUGGGAACUGCAUUUGAAACUGGCAAGCUAGAGUCUCGUAGAGGGGGGUAGAAUUUCCAGGUGUAGCGGUGAAAUGCGUAGAGAUCUGGAGGAAUACCGGUGGCGAAGGCGGCCCCCCUGGACGAAGACUGACGCUCAGGUGCGAAAGCGUGGGGCAGCAAACAGGAUUAGAUACCCUGGUAGUCCAGCGCUGUAAACGAUGUCGAUUUGGAGGUUGUGCCCUUGAGGCGUGGCUUCCGGAGCUAACGCGUUAAAUCGACCGCCUGGGGAGUACGGCCGCAAGGUUAAAAACUUAAAGG